UUUUCCCUUCCCCCUCCAACUCUCUCGUCUUCCAAGCAAAACUCUCACCUAUUUUUUUCAUUUCUCUUCCUAAUUUCUUUUCCCCGUCCCCUUUCUUUGUUUCUUUUUCCAUUCAUCCUCCCCUUCGAUAAUCUAUUCUUUCAUUUGCUCGUCUCCACCCACUAUCUCCGUCCAAACAUCCCUCAACCACCGGUGAUCGGAAGAAAGCUUGAGCUUUGUCAUUGUUCUAUCAUCGAAUUCAUCUCUAUCAAAAUAGCAGCAAAAAAAGGCAAAUUUGCAAUGACAUUGGGAACCUUCACUUUCAAAUCAUGAAUUUUUGUUAUUUUUUUUCUGAAAAUCUAUUU
rnacentral:lncRNA from 1 species